rnacentral:rRNA from 1 species
UACGGGGGGGGCAAGCGUUGUUCGGAAUUACUGGGCGUAAAGGGCUCGUAGGCGGCCAACUAAGUCGGAUGUGAAAUCCCCAGGCUUAACCUGGGAACUGCAUCCGAUACUGGAUGGCUUGAAUCCGGGAGAGGGAUGCAGAAUUCCAGGUGUAGCGGUGAAAUGCGUAGAUAUCUGGAGGAAUACCGGUGGCGAAGGCGGCAUCCUGGACCGGCAUUGACGCUGAGUGAGCGAAAGCGUGGGGAGCAAACAGG